AGAGUUUGAUCCUGGCUCAGAAUGAACGCUGGCGGCAUGCCUAACACAUGCAAGUCGAACGAGACCUUCGGGUCUAGUGGCGCACGGGUGCGUAACGCGUGGGAAUCUGCCCCUUGGUUCGGAAUAACAGUUGGAAACGACUGCUAAUACCGGAUGAUGACGUAAGUCCAAAGAUUUAUCGCCGAGGGAUGAGCCCGCGUAGGAUUAGGUAGUUGGUGUGGUAAAGGCGCACCAAGCCGACGAUCCUUAGCUGGUCUGAGAGGAUGAUCAGCCACACUGGGACUGAGACACGGCCCAGACUCCUACGGGAGGCAGCAGUGGGGAAUAUUGGACAAUGGGCGAAAGCCUGAUCCAGCAAUGCCGCGUGAGUGAUGAAGGCCUUAGGGUUGUAAAGCUCUUUUACCCGGGAUGAUAAUGACAGUACCGGGAGAAUAAGCUCCGGCUAACUCCGUGCCAGCAGCCGCGGUAAUACGGAGGGAGCUAGCGUUAUUCGGAAUUACUGGGCGUAAAGCGCACGUAGGCGGCUUUGUAAGUAAGAGGUGAAAGCCCAGAGCUCAACUCUGGAAUUGCCUUUUAGACUGCAUCGCUUGAAUCAUGGAGAGGUCAGUGGAAUUCCGAGUGUAGAGGUGAAAUUCGUAGAUAUUCGGAAGAACACCAGUGGCGAAGGCGGCUGACUGGACAUGUAUUGACGCUGAGGUCGAAAGCGUGGGGAGCAAACAGGAUUAGAUACCCUAGUAGUCC
rnacentral:rRNA from 1 species